UACGGAGGGUGCAAGCGUUAUCCGGAUUUACUGGGUUUAAAGGGUGCGUAGGUGGGCAGGUAAGUCAGUGGUGAAAUCUCCGAGCUUAACUCGGAAACUGCCAUUGAUACUAUCUGUCUUGAAUAUCCUGGAGGUAAGCGGAAUAUGUCAUGUAGCGGUGAAAUGCUUAGAUAUGACAUAGAACACCAAUUGCGAAGGCAGCUUACUACGGGAUUAUUGACACUGAGGCACGAAGGCGUGGGGAUCAAACAGG
rnacentral:rRNA from 1 species